rnacentral:rRNA from 1 species
CGGACGGGUGAGUAACGCGUGAGAAUCUGCCCUCAGGAGGGGGAUAACGGCUGGAAACGGCCGCUAAUACCCCAUAUGCCGAGAGGUGAAACGAAUUUCGCCUGAGGAUGAGCUCGCGUCUGAUUAGCUAGUUGGUGGGGUAAGAGCCUACCAAGGCUUCGAUCAGUAGCUGGUCUGAGAGGAUGAUCAGCCACACUGGGACUGAGACACGGCCCAGACUCCUACGGGAGGCAGCAGUGGGGAAUUUUCCGCAAUGGGCGAAAGCCUGACGGAGCAACGCCGCGUGAGGGAUGAAGGCCUCUGGGCUGUAAACCUCUUUUCUCAAGGAAGAAGAUCUGACGGUACUUGAGGAAUAAGCCACGGCUAAUUCCGUGCCAGCAGCCGCGGUAAUACGGGAGUGGCAAGCGUUAUCCGGAAUUAUUGGGCGUAAAGCGUCCGCAGGCGGCCUCGUAAGUCUGUCGUUAAAGCGUGGAGCUUAACUCCAUUUCAGCGAUGGAAACUGUGAGGCUAGAGUGUGGUAGGGGCAGAGGGAAUUCCCGGUGUAGCGGUGGAAUGCGUAGAUAUCGGGAAGAACACCAGUGGCGAAGGCGCUCUGCUGGGCCAUAACUGACGCUCAUGGACGAAAGCCAGGGGAGCGAAAGGGAUUAGAUACCCCUGUAGUC